GCCAGAUCACGCGAUUGCUUAGUUUCCAGCGGAAUUUCUCGGAGCAUUUUCUGAACUCACUCUUGUUCCUUCUGUAACUGCUUGUUUACUAUAGACUGGUGACAUAAUACGAAACAAACAGUGAUGAAGUAAACAGAUAUUUUUUGGCUCAACAAUUUAGUUUAGGAGCCAGUUUUAAUUUAUUUAUCAUCAUCAUUUUUAUAAAUAAAUAGGAAAGACAGCUGAUAAUGGAGUGGUACAUUAUGAUAAAAUUUGUGAGCGAUUAAGGAGGCAAACGCUUAUUUUAAACACUUAAAUGGUUAUAAAUUGUGUCAUCCUAAAUGGUGUAUAGCUGCCAUUUAGGAUCACAGAGUUGCUUCAGUUGAGUAACUUUAAAUUUUGAAAUUAUGCCUGUGAGACAAAUUAUAAAUUUGACACGGAUUAUCAAAUGGAAAAGGCAGUUUAUAGUUAUAGAUGUGUAUAAAAACAGCUGUGUUCGGUUUUAUAUCAUCAGAGUGGAGAAAAACUGUUUGUUGUAUUUAAUUAAACAAAAUUUUUUAUAUGAUUUUAUCUUCAUUUAUAUACCAUAUUUUCGAUAUAUUUUUUUAUUCAUAAACACAUUUUUUGUUGAUUAUUCUUAGUAGAUUAAAUGCAUUGUACUCAUUUUACAAUUGAUAAAUUUAUUUAGAUUAUUUAAGAAUACAGCGUGUUUUUCUGAAUUAUAGAAUUAACUAAUCAAAUAAUGUGAAUAGUUAUCAUUGAUAAGUUUAAAAUAUUUAAUUUGUUUUCUUUUCCCUAGAGAGUGGCAUUAUUAGCUGUGCGAGAAAAUCUGGUUUAUAUCUAACUUUUUGCCAUAGAAAACCGGUAACCAAGAGCGCUAGAAUAAACAACGAAUACAGAAGAGAAAAAUAAAUAAAAUUCUAUCCAAUAUUUUCAGCAGGCGUGUUGCGCUGAAGAUUUUAAAAACUGGAAGAAUUUCCUUUCACCAGAUUAUUCGAGUACAAAGAUGAGAAGCAUUUCGUUAAUCGUGACCCUGGUCAUGCUGGUUACAGUAAGC
rnacentral:lncRNA from 1 species